rnacentral:rRNA from 1 species
GAUGAACGCUGGCGGCGUGCCUAACACAUGCAAGUCGAACGAAGCGACUCGAAGUUUUCGGACAGAGAGUUGACUGAGUGGCGGACGGGUGAGUAACGCGUGGGUAACCUGCCUCAUACAGGGGGAUAACAGUUAGAAAUGACUGCUAAUACCGCAUAAGCGCACAGCAUCGCAUGAUGCAGUGUGAAAAGCCGAGACGGUAUGAGAUGGACCCGNGUCUGAUUAGCUAGUUGGUGAGGUAACGGCUCACCAAGUCGACGAUCGUUAGCCGGACUGAGAGGUUGAACGGCCACAUUGGGACUGAGACACGGCCCAGACUCCUACGGGAGCAGCAGUGGGGAAUACUGGGCAAUGGGGGAAACCCUGACCCAGCAACGCCGCGUGAAGGAGAAGGGCCCUUACGGGUUGUAAACUUCUUUAGCUAGGACGAGAACGUGACGGUACC